UCGAGAAUCAUUCGCAAUGGGCGAAAGCCUGACGAUGCGACGCCGUGUGAGCGAAGAAGGCCUUCGGGUCGUAAAGCUCUUUCGCCUGGGAACAAGAGAUUGUGGCUAAUAGUCACGAGAUUUGAGGGUACCAGGUAAAGAAGCACCGGCUAACUCCGUGCCAGCAGCUGCGGUAAUACGGAGGGUGCAAGCAUUAAUCGGAUUUAUUGGGCGUAAAGGGCGCGUAGGCGGUGAGAUAAGUCAGAUGUGAAAUCCUGGGGCUCAACCUCAGAACUGCAUUUGAAACUAUCUUUCUAGAGGGUAGGAGGAGAAAACGGAAUUCCACAAGUAGCGGUGAAAUGCAUAGAUAUGUGGAAGAACACCGGUGGCGAAGGCGGUUUUCUAUCUUAUUCCUGACGCU
rnacentral:rRNA from 1 species